CUUUGUAUGAUGAGGUAUAUACCGCCCCAGUCUGAUGAACCAUGACUGACUGGUUACUUUCUGACGAAGU